GUUUUUAUAGUUGAAUUUACGACGGUGGUUUUUCAGUCCAUUAGUCCUGGUUAAAAUUCCAGGUGAAGACU
rnacentral:tRNA from 1 species